rnacentral:rRNA from 1 species
CCUACGGGAGGCAGCAGUGAGGAAUAUUGGUCAAUGGGCGGGAGCCUGAACCAGCCAAGUCGCGUGAGGGACGACGGUCCUAUGGGUUGUAAACUUCUUUUAUAUGGGAAUAAAAUGUUCCACGUGUGGGAUUUUGUAUGUACCAUAUGAAUAAGGAUCGGCUAACUCCGUGCCAGCAGCCGCGGUAAUACGGAGGAUCCGAGCGUUAUCCGGAUUUAUUGGGUUUAAAGGGAGCGUAGGUGGAUUGUUAAGUCAGUUGUGAAAGUUUGCGGCUCAACCGUAAAAUUGCAGUUGAAACUGGCAGUCUUGAGUACAGUAGAGGUGGGCGGAAUUCGUGGUGUAGCGGUGAAAUGCUUAGAUAUCACGAAGAACUCCGAUUGCGAAGGCAGCUCACUGGACUGCAACUGACACUGAGGCUCGAAAGUGUGGGUAUCAAACAGGAUUAGAUACCCCUGUAGUC